GUUUUUAGAGAAAUGGGUGAAUCUUACAAGGAAUAACAGAAUUACAGAGGCCAUAAUGAGGGGGUUUUAAUUUGGGUGAAAUUAUUUAUUUGUAGAGUAGAUGAGGAAAAGAUUAAAGACUCUACAGAAACAAUGAGAUUCAAUUUUUAAUUGACCUUGAAGCAUUUAAAGUGUAAAUGAAUCCAGGAGGGAGAGUUGUUAAUAGAAGUUGAGCCCUCAGGUGAGUAGGGUUGGCUUCUUUACACCUUGGUUAAAACAUUAAGCCCAGGACGAUAAUGUAAGAUAUCUGUUUCCCUGCCCUUCUUGCUAAUGAGCUUUGCCUCCUCAGUAACUUAACGCAGGCUGGGAUGAGAAGCUGCCUAUCAUUAAUUAAUCUUGAAACCUGUAUUUGCUGAAAGAAACCUACAUCUAUAGAGAAGUCUCCAUUUGCUGCUUUUUUUUGAGCUUUUUAAAAUUUGUUCUUAUUAGUUAUACAUGACAGUAGAAUGUAUUUGGACAUAUUAUACAUAUAUGGAGUUUAAUUUCCCAUUUUUGUGGUUGUACAUAAUGUGGAAUUAUAUUAAUCAUGUAUUCAUAUAUGAACAUUGGAACGUAGUAUCCGAUUCAUUCUACUAUCUUUUCUGUUCCCAUUCCUCCUCCCUUCCCUUCAUUCCCCUUUGUCUAAUCCAAAGUACUUCUAUUCUUCCCUACCCCCUACCUUAUUGUGAGUUAGCACCCACAUAUCAGAACAUACAUCCCUUGGUUUUCAGCGAUUGGCUUAUUAGCAUGAUAGUCUAUAGAUAGACUAUUAGCAUGAUAGUCUUCACUUCCAUCCAUUUACUGGCUAAUGCAAUAAUUUCAUUUCUCUUUAUGGCUGAGUAAUAUUCCAUUGUGUAUAUAGACCACAUUUUCUUUAUCUGUUUAUCUGUUGAAGGGCACGUGGGAUGGUUUCAUAGCUUAGCUAUUGUGAAUUGAGCUGCUAUAAACAUUGAUGUGUUUAUAGCACUAUACUAUGCUGAUUUUAAGUUCUUUGGGUAUAUACUGAGGAGUGGGAUAACUGGAUCAAAUGGUGGUUCCAUUCCAAGUUUUCUGAGGAAUCUCCAUACUUCUUUCCAGAGUGUACCAAUUUGCAGUCUCACCACCAAUGUAUGAGUGAAACUUUCCCCCACAUCCUCACCAACAUUUAUUGUUAGUUGUAUUCUUGAUAAUUACCAUUCUGACUGCAGUGAUAUGAAAUCUGUGUAGUUUUAAUUUGCACUUCUCUAACUGCUAGAGAUAUUGAACAUUUUCUCAUAUAUUUUUUCCUUGCAAAGGUCUUUGUGUUAUUUAUUUAUUCAGCUUAAUCUUUUAACUAAUAAUGCUUAUUUUCUAGCUUUCUUGCCUCACAAACAUUCAUGGCUGUACGAUCCAUUCACUUUUAAAUGCUAGUUCAGUAGUUUUUAAUCAUGCUCAUUCAGCUGUCACUACAGACUAAAAUCUAAUCAAUCAUUUUCUAUAGAGCAUUUUUUUUGUUUUUGUACAAAUUUUAACUUUCAUUCUGAGAAGAUAUCCCUUGAUCAAGUUAAAAUUUAGAUCCAUGUGGUUGAGAGAUUAGCUGUGAUUAAUUUUUAUUA
rnacentral:lncRNA from 1 species